rnacentral:lncRNA from 1 species
AAUUAAGAUUCUGAACUAGUUGGCUGAGAACAACCUGGAGGACCUGACAAAUCAUCCAGUACCAUGGUACAUCCAAUUCAUAAAAGCAAAAUCAAACAAGUGGAUGCUCACCCAAGAAGAGAGCAUCUAGUGACUACAUCAAGUUGAGGCAGCUGACAUUCUCAAGGAUAAAAAGUAAAAACAGAGUGUUGGUGAGUUCCUUGGCUUUAAAAAAUCAUUCCGAAUCAGGAACAGCUCAUCAAAUUUGUUGAAGAAAAAGCCACAUUAAUCAAGGAUGGUGGU